GGCUUGUCUAAAUUCCAAGAUCACAAAGAUAAGUAAAAAUAGCCUUUGAUUUGGAGGGCUUGAAUUGGGUAGGGAGAAUCCAAUGUGUGUAAGUUAAUGCUAGGGAAGGGGAGAAACUGAUCAUAUUUUGGGGAUAGGGAAUUAAAAGUUUUUUCUUGGACCAGGAGAUAAGAGGGCAUGUGUUUGGGACAAUAUGUAGAAGUAGGUCAGGAAACCAUUGCUGGACUGGAAGCUAAGUACAUUCUGGGCCAGGUGAAGAAUAAGGAAGGUCUAAAGGCAGAGCUUAUUUUAAGUUCAGAAAACAGUAAUCAACCAAGUCCCACAAGAAGGCAGGAUGGUAGAAUACAAGAGAUAGGAAUUUUGGGAUCUGGAAGCACAGGCUAGAAACAGGACAAAAGAACAAGGUAGUCUGGAUGUUAUAGUUUGUAUAUGAAGUGCUCCCCAAAGCUCCUGUGUUAAUCCAGGAAUGUUCAGAGGUAAAGUGAUUACAUGGUGAAAACUUCAAUCUAAUCAGUCUAUCCUAGUUUGAAUGGACUGGAUAGUUAACUGUAUGCAGGUGGGGCAUAGCAAGAGGAGGGUCACUGGGUUUGUGUCCUGGAAGAGUUCUUCCCUGUUGUCCCUCCCCACCUUCUCUCUCUCUACUUCUGGGAUCCUGUGAAAGGAGAACUCCUUCACUAUUCCCUUUCACUAUGAUCUUCUGCCUCACAAUGGGCCCAGAGCUAUGGACUCAGCUGACUAUAGACUAACCCUCAGCAAUCAUGAACCAAAAUAAAAUUUUCCUCCUCUAGGUUGUUCUUAUUGCGUAUUUUGGUCAUAGUGAUGAAAAGCUGGCUAAUACAUUGGAUUUGGGUGGAGACAGCUAUCUUGGCUCAAGUAAGGGGUAAAGUCGUUUUGUUGCUCAGGAGGAUUUCAAUUUAUGAGAUAUUUUAU
rnacentral:lncRNA from 1 species